rnacentral:rRNA from 1 species
AGUGAACGCUGGCGGUAGGCCUAACACAUGCAAGUCGAACGGCGGCACAGUAAGAGCUUGCUCUUACGGGUGGCGAGUGGCGGACGGGUGAGGAAUACAUCGGAAUCUACUUUUUCGUGGGGGAUAACGUAGGGAAACUUACGCUAAUACCGCAUACGACCUACGGGUGAAAGCAGGGGAUCUUCGGACCUUGCGCGAUUGAAUGAGCCGAUGUCGGAUUAGCUAGUUGGCGGGGUAAAGGCCCACCAAGGCGACGAUCCGUAGCUGGUCUGAGAGGAUGAUCAGCCACACUGGAACUGAGACACGGUCCAGACUCCUACGGGAGGCAGCAGUGGGGAAUAUCGGACAAUGGGCGCAAGCCUGAUCCAGCCAUACCGCGUGGGUGAAGAAGGCCUUCGGGUUGUAAAGCCCUUUUGUUGGGAAAGAAAAGCAGCAGGUUAAUACCCCACUGUUCUGACGGUACCCAAAGAAUAAGCACCGGCUAACUUCGUG